rnacentral:rRNA from 1 species
UACGAAGGGGGCUAGCGUUGUUCGGAAUUACUGGGCGUAAAGCGCGCGCAGGCGGUCUUCCAAGUCAGUGGUGAAAGCCCGGAGCUCAACUCCGGAACUGCCAUUGAAACUGUUAGACUUGAGGAUGAGAGAGGUGAGUGGAAUUCCCAGUGUAGAGGUGAAAUUCGUAGAUAUUGGGAGGAACACCAGUGGCGAAGGCGGCUCACUGGACCGGAACUGACGCUGAGGCGCGAAAGCGUGGGGAGCAAACGGG